GUGCAGAACAAUGCGGGUGCAGUUGUCUGGAUCGUAAGCUGACCCAUGAAGUAUAAAGAGCAUGUUAUGAACGGAUCUUCGACAAUACACCGAUUUUUACAUCACGUGGUUGGCGGAAUUAGCUAAAUAGUUAAUUUACUAUUAGCAAUAAUUUAAACAAGCAAUAACCGAGACAAUCAACAAUUUUAGUGCAUCGGAAAAAAAUCAGAGACGAAACUCGUUAAUUUUAGAAAAUUAGGCGUUCCUUUUGUAAAAAUAUGGGUG